UGGGGUUUUAGGCUGGGUUUCUGUGCAGCACUUUGAGAUAUCAGCUGAUGUACGAAGGGCUAUAAAAAUACAUUUGAUUUGAUUUGACAGACCCCACACUCAUCGCUAGAGAUCGAACUUCAGACUCCCUCCAAAACCACUGAACCCCUCAACACACCGAAAGAGAUUACGAUAUACCCCCUUAGAGGGAGCCGGAACAGGAUAACUCCCUCCACCAUCACAAAGACACAGAGGAGGAGGAACUAUCCAACACCCAGGGAGAGAGAACGAGUGACCUCAGUCGAACACAGCCAGAAAGAGGAGGUGGAAGAGGUGUUAGAUAGAGGAUGCGCAGCAGCACACUGCCCUCCAAAGCCUGCAAAAUAAUCGCUGGACUGCCCCUUUCCUAGCUCUGCAUGGAACAUCCAGUGUCACGUCCUUGGUGACGUGUGGGGUGACAUCCGGGAUGACCACAGCAACAUCCUCUGGAAAGGGAAAAAAGAGGAUCAGGAUGUAAACAAAUGCAAACCGUAGCUUCUAAACACUGGCCAGUUGAAAGGUUCUGCUAAGAUGUCAUGACAAACGGCACCUGUCAGAGUGCUCUCUAAGUGUUACUCACCUGCUUGGAUGUCAGCUGGCAGAGUGUCGAAGACGUCCAUCGUGAGAGUCCUUUCUUCAGGUGUGACAUGCUCAAUCGAUCCUAUUUAUUUGUACUGAAAUUUGAUCUUUUUUUUUCUCUGCUGCUACUCGUGUUUUACAGAAACACGUUUGAGUGGGUUUUCUACAGUCUGGCGCAUGUUGACACAAUAUGGAGAAUGCAUAUGCUGCAAACCAGCACGACUAUCAGGCAUCAACUAUAGACGAGUUUCACUCACUACUGCAGUUUGGAGUUAGGUUGAUGUUAGAGGCUACUGGAGGAAGUUAUGGGGCAUACUUGAACUCUUUAAGGGAACAUGAACCUUUCUACUCCUGCAAAUUAUGACUAAUAACCCUAAUCAAAUUCUACGAGAUGGGUUUUUGAAUGCAGUACUGUAUUUUCAUUGAAAUGGCAGAUUUGUAUGAUUUCACACAAAAAAAAUGUAUGUAAUGCUUCCCACAAAGAAAUUAUUUUACUAUUUUGUUUCAAAUGGUCCCUCUGGCAUGCAUAUUUCUGUAUGAUUUAACACAUGUUUGAAUCCCACUUCCUUGAUAUUUUUAAGUUAAUUUUAGUCCUCCUCCUUGCAUGUUUUGUUCCAUACCUGUGCCUUGGAGAAAACAACUAUAGCCCUCCAAGUCUAAUACGCUAUACACAACAGCAGCCUACAGUGUUAACUUAUUGAGAAUGUAUAUCAUUGUAUUUAACAUUCAAACCUCUUUUGAACUCUUCAGAUCUUAACCGGAUCAAACUGGAAUGUUAAUAUAUUACCCUAAGUCAAACUGGUUUUGGUGUCUUAGACACAAAAGGUUGUUUUCUCCUCAUAGUAAAAACACUGUUUCAUGGUUUGGAUUAAAAACACUGGGUAUUUGUUACGUAGAACUUUGUGUUUUUUGGGGGGGAAAGCAAUACUUAGCUCUACUGCUGUCUAUGUAGAGGCCUAGUUAGAAUUGUAUUGCAAUGACAGGUGAAGUGCUUGUUGAAAUCAUGCUGCCUUGCUGCUCAUUCCUUAAAGUACUUAUACCAACGAA